GCCCCCGUAGCUCAGGGGAUAGAGCAGUGGCCUCCGGAGCCAUGUGCAGGCGUUCGAAUCGCCUCGGGGGCA
rnacentral:tRNA from 1 species